rnacentral:rRNA from 1 species
GACGAACGCUGGCGGCGUGCUUAAUACAUGCAAGUCGAACGCAGUUGCGAACGGGUGAGUAACGCGUAGGUAACUGCCUCAUAGCGGGGGACAACCAUUGGAAACGCUCGCUAAUACCCCCAUCAUUGAGUUGGACUGGAGUUGUAUUAGCUAGUUGGUGAGGUAACUGCCGACCAAGGCGACGAUACAUAGCCGGCCUGAGAGGUUGAACGGCCACACUGGGACUGGGACACGGCCCAGACUCCUACGGGAGGCAGCAGUAGGGAAUCUUCGGCAAUGGACGGAAGUCUGACCGAGCAACGCCGCGUGAGUGAUGAAGGUUUUCGGAUCGUAAAGCUCUGUUGUUCGAGAAGCGGUACCGAAACAGAAAGGGACGGCUAACUACGUGCCAGCAGCCGCGGUAAUUC